rnacentral:lncRNA from 1 species
GUAGUGACAGUGCCAGCAGAGUUUCCAGGGACAAGCUUGAGUUGCAUAUCGAAUCUUCCAAACAAGUACUCAUUCUUGGAUUGAAACCCUGAUCCAGAAGCUUGGUCGAGAGACAAAGUAAGGUCUCGACCAGCAUUGAGUAUCUUGGCGCGCUGAUCACCCCAAGUGAUUUCCGCGUCAUUGUAGAAAUCAGCAGCUGCCUGUGGAGCUUGGGUGGUCAUGAGAACUGAAAGUAACAGAAGCGAAGCGCUAACAUGCAGAUUGACAUGUUAUGAUGAGCAGUCGAAAUGAGAGAAUUAGUAUUCGCUGGGCUUGAAUGAAUCGAAAGUUAGAGAUUGGUAAUGAAAAAGAAGUAAAAUGUAUGUCGAGAGUGAUGGGUGAGGUAAGAAUGGGAAUGGGUAAUAUUUAUAGGUGGGAGUUGUUGUCAAUACCACACAAAAGGAAGCAUCCCAGACAGAGAAUGGAGUAUAUGUUGUUGACAGCUUGGAUUGUUGAGUUGACAACAUUUAGAAAAAGGAAAAUUAGGAGAGUAUUUAUGAAGGUUCUAGCAAUAGCAGAAAUCAGCAACGGGCAUCAUAGACGCACUACAUUGUUUGAUCGGGUACUGCAGUUGUUUUUACCAUUUUUUUGGUCAGUCGGGAAAGCUGUUCCUUUUAUUUUAUUUUUCUAAUGAAAAGAAGAGAAAAAUCAAUAAUUUGAAAGAUCAAAAUACCGUUUAUUAAAAAGUGAAAUUCAUUUUUAAUGAAACAUCUAAAUAUCAAAUGUCAAAAUAGCAAAAAUUGGUUAUCAUCAUUUAAUUUUUCCUAUUUAAUAAUAAUUAUUAUUAUACUAUUAAAAAAACUCUAUAUUAAUGAGGAAGUUGUAAUAUAACAAUUAUCUUACAAUCAUAAUAAUAUUCUCAACAAAAUUAUUAAUUUUAAAUUUAAAACUCAAACAAUUUAGUUUAAGAAACAAUUCUAUAAAAAAAAAAUUAUCAUAUUUUAUAGUUCAAAUCAAUAUGGAAUCCAUACCAAUACUAAAUUACAAAAUUUAGGUGUUAUCAUAUAAUAUUCUUUAUUAAAUAAUUGUUAUUUAUUAUAGUACUAUGAAAGGACUUUAAAAUCGACCGGGACUUUGUAAUAUAAUCAUUAUUACUACCAACAGACUGCAUUGCCAACAAAAUUAUUUUUUUUAAAAAAAAUUCAUAAAAUUUAAUUUAAGAAAAAGUUGUAUUAAUUAUUGUACUCCCUCUGUUUUUUAAUAUUUGACGCUUUGACUUUGAGCACGUACUUUUAAAUGUUUUGACUGAAUAGUUAAAAAUAUUAUUUUUUAAAUUUUCUUUUUCUGAAUAAAAAUAUAUAAUCAAAAUUUUAAUUUACAAAAGAAAUCAAUCAAAAUAAUAAUUUUUACUUUUUGAUCAACCCACCUGAAAAUAUGUGUCAAAAGUCAAAAUUUCAAAUAAUUAAAAACAGAGGGAAUAAUAUAUAAUAAUUUAAUUUAGGAAACUAUACUGCUACUCAUGAAAUGUAUAGCUAGCAACCAAAACGCAAGACAAAGUUUGGUAAAGUAGCAACUUAUAAAAUGCAGCAACUUUGGUACUCCUGUAUACUGCUACAUAAUGGUCUACCGGAGCUUGUAUUACUGAACCGUCAUACAUAUACAUACCUUGUAUCCAUUGCAAUCAUUCAAGCAAUAGAAUAUAGCAUAUAUACCGCGUUAAUGAUGCCUGUUGCUGGUUUCUGCAAACGUUGGAAUGUUCAUAAUUACUCUCCUUUCUCUAAAUUGUAACGGUACCAACUCAACAAUCCAGCCAGCUGUUAACAAAAUAAACACGCAUUUAGUUUUUUCUUAAACUUAUACAUUGUCCAUCCUGUGUCUGGCUCUGCGGUGCUUCCUUUUGUAGUAUAGUCAAACAACUUCCACCUAUUAUAAGUAUCAACCAUUUCAUUCUUACCUCAACCAUCACUCUUAACCUAAUAAUACUUUCAAUUUGAUUACACUCUCUCGUUUUUUCAUUUAUCCAAGCCCAGUGAAGUCUUCUUUCUGUCCGAGUGCUAAUUGUAACAUGUCUACCUUCAUUUCAGUGCUUCUUUUACUUUCUUUUCUCAUGAGCACCCAUGCUCCACAGGCAGCUGCUGAUUUCUACAAAGACGCAGAAAUUACUUGGGGUGAUCAGCGCGCCAAGAUACUCAAUGCUGGUAGCGACCUUACUUUGUCUCUCGACCAAGCUUCUGGCUCAGGCUUCCAAUCCAAGAAUGACUACUUGUUUGGAAGAUUCGAUAAUCGAUAUGCAACUCAAGCUCGUCCCUGGAAACUCUGCUGGAACUGUUACUACAUUUUAUGUUAGUAACCUUACAAAACAUUUUAUCGUAUUCAUGCACUAUAUGAUCUUUAGUUAACAAAGCUAUUUUUAUGCCUAAUAUCUAUUUAUAUCAUGUACUCGCAGCUAUCUUCUCAAGGAGCUGGACAUGAUGAGAUUGACUUUGAGUUUCUGGGAAACUCAUCAGGAAGUCCAUAUACAAUUCAUACAAAUGUGUUUGCGCAAGGCAAAGGUGACAAAGAACAACAAUUCCAGCUCUGGUUCGAUCCCACUUCUUCCUUCCACACCUACUCCAUUGUUUGGAAUCCCCAAAGGAUUAUGUAAGUAGACCUUUUUUACGUGACAUAUAACUUUCCUUUUUUAGAAAAACCAAAUUACGAAUUCUACUGCAAUUACUUUUGCUGACAAUAUCAAUUUUUUGGCCUUCAGUUUCUUGGUGGAUAACAACCCGAUCAGAGUAUUCAACAAUCAGGAAUCAAUAGGGGUGCCCUUCCCCAAGAGCCAGCACAUGAGAGUCUAUGCCAGCUUAUGGAAUGCUGAUGACUGGGCAACUGAUCAAGGCGGGCGUGUCAAGACCGACUGGACUAAAGCUCCAUUCACAGCCUACUACAGGAACUUCAACAUAAAAGGGUGUCCCAAAUAAUCUCCCGGAUCAUCAUCUUGUGGAUCAGGGCCGUCUGAAACUUUUCUGAGGCCCCGUGCUGAUUUUAAGAAUGAGACCCUUCCAAAUGACAAAACAAAAUUUUAAUAUAUUUAAAAUAACAUGAUAUCAUAAGCAAAAUUAGACUACUACAACUGAAAAAUUGUUUUUUUUAAGUAGUUAGACUUAAAUAUGUGUGUGGCCGUGUGGGAUUUACUGUUUGUGCAGUCUACUAGUUUGUGAGUAAGGAGAAGGAAUAAGAAGAAACGUGCAUGGCUGGGUCUUGGGAGUCGAGAAUUGAUUAGUGUUUAAAUAAAAUAAUGGUAAAAAUUAAAGAGAUAUUAAUAUCAUAUUAUAUUUAUCAUGAGUAUACCAAAAGAUAGAAAGAAGAAGUAAUAAAUUGGGGGCCCUAAAUUUUCAUGGGCCCUGUGCUGUUGCACUUGUUGCACUCCCUCAAAACCGACCCUGUUGUGGAUCAUCCACCGCUUCUUCAAGCACCAUCGAGGGAUGGAGAACACACGAGCUGGAUGCAGCUGGCCGAAACAGACUCCGAUGGGUACAAUCAAAGCAUAUGGUGUACAACUACUGCUCUGACAAACAGAGGUUUGCUAAUGCUGUCCCAGCUGAAUGCAGGCGUUCAAGAUUUCUCUAGACGACACAACCAUGAUUUUGAUGUCUGGUUUUGUGAUCAGCUUAUUGUGUAAUUCCAACAAAUAAAUAUAUUCUUUAUUCUUUGUAAUUGAAUUUCUGUUUUUUUUUAAUUCAAAUGUUAAAUAAAUCCGGUCACUUGAUUAUAUAUCAGAGAUCAACCAAUAAAAACGAAAAGUUCAUUUUAAUUUACUCCCAAAUUUUCAGCUUCUGUACCUUCAGAGCACUGAAAUAUACUUAAUUUUGUCGCAGCUGCAUUUUACCGAAAACAGGUACCGAUCAGCUUCAGUAUCUCGACUGAUCUUAGAUAUCUAAGCAUUAAAAGUCGGCAGACAAGAGAAACAUUUCACGUAUGGCUAAGUAGACCAGUUGAAAAACUGAAUAAUCGUAAACUGGGAAUAUAAAGAAUCAGUAUUGAAAAAGAAAUCGGAACCCGUGUUAAAAAAAACAAACAGAGAUGUGAUCAACGGCCAAGACACUGUUAACUUCAAUCACAAUAAAUAUUGAAUUCUGAGACUCAAAUUAUAUCUCUAGUAAUCGAACAUUGAAUUUAAUAUUUAUAUUAAAUAUCAGACUCAAUUUUAUGCAUGUACCCACUAUUUUUGUAAAAAUCAGUAAGAGUAUUUCCAACCCUCACAAGCCCUUAGCUAAAAGUCCAUGUGGCUUUCCAAAAUUAAAUUUUAUAAUCAAUGUUUACAAAAAAUAAACUCCAACCACAGCAACCCUUGUGUAUAAUUAUAGCCAUCCCCUUGACUAUAUUUGUCGAUUCACUACAGAUAUGUAGCGAAUUUCACUUCAAAAACAUCUCUGAACAGGGUUCUAGCACCAUGCCAAAUAUGUCCAAAGAAGAAGAGCAAAGCAAAAGAAGCAUGUCCAAAAGUAAACCAACCCCUUGGACUGCUACGAAAAACACCAUCGGAUUUCAAAGUAGCACGAUCUAAUUCAAAAAUUUCACCCAAUUGAGCGCGUCUAGCAUAUUUUUUCACAGUAGCAGGAUCACUAUAACUGACUCCGUUGAGUUCGCCACCGUAGAACUCAACAGUUACACCUACUUGUUCGACACUAUACUUCGAUUAUCUCUCGCAAUUUAUUUUCCUCUUUCCCACUGAUUACAUAUUAUUUAUUACCAUAUUAAGCUGAUAUAUUCUAUUUAUAAUAAUCUAAAUAUUAAUAACAUACUAUUUUUAAAUUAUAACCAAUAUAGCCAAUACCAUUAAAGCACAAUGUCUUACAGGUUCGGCAAAUUUUACAUAAUAUCACUACGCCAUAUAUGGCCUACGACAACAUCAAAAAAAUGAUGCCAUAACCCCAAAAUAUGUUGCCAUAGCCCGAAAAAGGGCUAUUGCAACAUAAAAUUUAAGUUGCACUUUUGCAUGCUGCCUUAGGCUUCUAUUGCAACAUUUAGGUAACCUACUGCAACACGGCUUUUUAUGUUACAAUAGACGUUCUAUUGCAACAUCUGACUAUCCUAUAGCAACAAAUAUAUUAUGUUACAUUACACCUUUUGAUUUGAAAAGAAAAAGGGGGACCCACAUGUGGGUCACACUUGUAGGUCCCACUUUUUGAGUCCACGUGGAUCCCACAUGUGGGUCCCACAUGUUAGUCCCAUGUUUGGACACCUAUUUUGUAGUCCCAUGUUUGCAACAAAUUUAUAAAAGAAAUUUAAAAUAUGCUCUUUAAAUAUUAAACAUUCCAAUAAACUAUUCUUUCUUACAAAUUUCAUAACAAAUCCAACCAAAUCAAAUUACCUAACAAUUCAAAACCAACUAAAAGUAACAACAAUUAGCCUGUGCUCUCUAGCCUUUUCUCUAAAAUACACCCUUCUCCAUACGUAAAUGAAGUGCAGGAUAUGUGAUUCCAAAGCUGUGACGAUAGGAGUCAUCUGUUCCACUAGCAAGAAACCCAAGCCUAGUGAAAUCCUUGAGCCAUUUCCACAUAAUCUUCAUUAACAGCAUGGACCGCAGCAUCAAAAAAAAAUUUGUAUAUUUUGCUGGAUGGAGAAACAAAAGCAAUUAAUAUAAAUACUUAAUUAAUAUCACAAUCAAUAUACUUGGAACAAAUAUUUUAGAAAGCCCAGGUCGUUUUUACUUGCGCGUAAACACAAUCAAUGACACAAGUGAAGAGAGUCAGAUAUUCACUAUAGAGAGAUACUCGAGUAAAUCACACUGUAACUUUAACAUACUUCACAUUAGCAAAGACAGGGGUUUCAAAAAUUAAAGUCUCGUAUGCUGCAUUGCUUACUGAGUAUUAUCACAUUUAACUAUACAAAUGAGCUAGACAAUCAAUUUGUAUAAGGACUUCAUUUAAAAUACUAAACAAAACCUUCUGAUUAAUCAAUAAUCGCAUAUUACUCAUAGAACAGGAAGGCGGCUAGAAAUUCAUUCAAAAGACACAAAGGUUAAAUGUAUACAGAAGAAAACUCGGUAUUUUGAUGGAUUUUAUUAGGUUUAGGAGUACUUUUUAUCAAAAGCACAUACUCCAGCUCUGUAGUUAUCAAAAAUACCCUAUAAUUCUGUAUAAACAAAUAAAGUUGUGUUACAUUGAGCAAUAUAGGAAUUAGAGGGGCAUUUUACAUGAUAAAUAUAGUAUAAGAUGAUUACCUCAACCCCACGAGAGCAGUAGGCAAACUAAUCUGACUCCUUCCUGGCUUUAGCUUCACUAGGGUCUCAAAAGCUUAAUUAUUAACAUCAUAUUUAGCCAGAAAACAACUUCUUACAUAGUAAAUCUUUACUACUAAUAAUUAUCAAGUCAGGGGAAGAACAAUAAUACAAUACAAGUUUACAACAUCAGGGGAAGAACGAUGCCGGCUCUGUAAACAGAGAGUUCAAAUCAUAUGGCAGAUAUAUACAACAAAAAAAGAACCAGUGCUUUCUAGAAAAACUACGUGCAACAUUAUACUGAUUCCUGAACAAAUCAACUCAACAAGUCAAAUGCCUAUAAAAAAUUACAACAUUCAAGACAAACUAUAAAAUCAGAAUGUUCCCAUUAGAGUUAAGAGAGAGGGAGGGAGAGACAGAGGGGAGACAGAGACACACACAGAGAGAGAAGGAGAGAGAGGGAGACAGAGAGAUGUGUAACAUAACAUACGACCACAAAUCAAAACAAAGAUAGACAAUGCAUUUACACAUAAAAUCUAAAACAAAGCAUGUGUAUUUAAAGUGAAAAGCAAAGGAUGACCACAAAUCUAAGCAGAUCGAAACCCCAAUUAAAGUGAAAAGCUGUUGAAGCCCUAGUUUCAGAAGCCCCAAUUCCCAAUUCAAUCGAAGCCCUGAGAAAAAUAACGACACAAAAUUAAAAAUAUUUUAGUGAUAAAAACGAAGAAACUCGUAAACAAAUUUAAUGAAACUAUAAAUCAGAAGCCCUGAUUUCGCGGAAUAAAGAACCUCUCAAUAAAAUCCCUAAUUGAAGACCUGAAACAAAACUUUAUUCGAUUGAGAGGUGAGUAUGAGGGGAGAGGUUCCCCGAUUUUUUCUAAUCGACGGUGCGUUUCAGCAGGGAGGUGAGAGGAGAUGAGGAUGAGCAGAGAGGUUUAGCAAGAGAGGUGAGGUGAGGUUAGGUGAGUGUAGAGAGUGAGGUGAGUGUUUGUUGAGUGAAAUGUGAAUAUGUCUGAGUCUCUGACUCAAAUGUGAAGCGGGAAGUUUGCCGCUCAUAUUUUUAGCACGCCCCCAAAAAUAUUUUUUGUUUAUUUUUUGUUUUAAUAAUUCAUUUUAUUUUCAAUUUCUUAAUUGUUAAAUAUAUAAAUAUUUUAUAUAUUUUAUAAUUUUAAUGAUAUACUUCAGUUACGGUGUUAUUUUUUUAUACAUAAUUAAUUAGGUUCAUAUUUUGUUAUUUAAUUAUUUUAAAGAGAUGACAUAAAAAUAAUAUUGUAUUCCAAAAUUAUGUUUAUUCAUGUUUAAUAUAUUCUAUUUUAUUAAUUAAUCAUUUGAAUGUAUUUUAGCUUUAUUUUGUGCAAAUUUUAGUAUUACAAAUAAUUAUUUUACUAAUACUCUUUGCAACACAUAAUUUUGGCUAUUGCAACAUCAAAUAGACAUGAAUGUUUAUCGUUGCGAUAGGUGUCGAUUAGUGUCUCUAAUGCAACAUAAUUUUGCAACACUCGCGUUCAUACCAUUGCGGUAGGCCAUAUAUGGCGUAGUGUAUUUUACAGGUUCGGCAAAUUUUACAUAAUGUCUUACAGAUCCAAUUUAGCCAACGAUUAUAGCGAACGCCAUCGGAGAUGCUCUAACUGUCGUACAAGUUGACAUGUCAUCGAAAUACAAAAACUUAAAUUUUUUACAUAAUUUGCAUACUAAGAUGCUAUAAUCAUUUUACAUAUUUUACAUACGGAAGGAAAAAAUAAACUGGAGAAAAUGUAGCGAAAUAUAUUCGUUUAGAAAAACUCAAUUAUGAUACUCAAAUUAUAUCUUUAGUAGUCGAAUAUUGAAUUUAACAUUAUUAUUAAAUUAUCAAAUUGAAUUUUAUACAUGUAGAACUAUUCUUGCAGAAAUCAAGAACCGUCAUACAAGUUGAGGUGUUAUCGAAAUACAAAAACUUAAAACUUUUACAUAAUCUACAUACGUAAGAUUCUAGAAUCAUUUUAACAGUGUCAUUGAAGAUGCUAUAAUAUUUCCUUUGUCGGAUUCAUACUUGUACGUGUAACUUUAGAAAGUAAAAGAAAAAACGUGAGGAAAUGUAGCUAAACAUGUUAGUUCAAAAAAACUCCAUAAAUUACAUCUUUAGUCGUCGAAUAUUGAAUUUAAUAUUAACUUUGAGGUGUAGAGUAAUUUACAUGUCAUUUCAUUCACUCUUUCGUAUGACCAGAGUAGUCGAAUAUUGAAUUUACUCCCUCCAUCCCAAUUUAUAUGAGCUUUUUCCUCAUUUUACACAGGAAUAUUAAAUGAUGUUUAUUUUUUCAUUUCUGCUCAUAUUCAUUGUGUUGACUUUAUACUAAUAUUAGUUGGAUGGUACAUUGGAAAUAAUAAAUAAGAAAGAAUAAGAGUGAAAGAUUAUUGAUAAAUGUACAUUAAAAAAAAAGAGGCUCAACUAUUUUGGGAUAAAUUUUUUUAUCAAAAAAACUCGAUGAAGAGAGUACAUGUCUAUUUACAUGUUUGUUAGAUAUUGACUUUUGUAGUUCCAAAAGAUCGAUGCAAUUAUUAAGUUCAAAGCGACUCAAGUUUCUAUAUAAAGUACUCUAUAAACAGGGUGUGAGAACUCCCAAUUCUAUCAUAACUUGAGCAUUAUUAGCAUCUCUUACACUUGUUAAGCCACCACCCACUGCUAUGCAUACUACUCGUAGCCACUGCGCUAGUAAUGAUACUGUAUUAGUGAGUAAUGUUACUGCACUAGUGAGUAAUGAUACUGCAUGUGUCGAUGAUAAAUCAAUUGUUCGUAGAUCGGGCAAUUAUCCUCCUCCAAUCUGGGAUGAUGAUUUCGUGCAAUCUCUUACCAGUGAUUUUAAGGUAGAAUCAUGUUUCUUUAGUGUGUGUGUGUGUAGUGUAUAAUUAUUCUUACCACUUGACAUAAUGCAUACGCAGGGAGAAAUAUGGAACAAAUAUGCAGGGGACUUGAAGGAACGUGUGAGGAUGCUGCUCAACAAAGAAGAUACAGACAACCUCAAGAAACUUGAGUUAGUUGAUUCAGUUCAGAGGCUUGGAGUGGGAUAUCACUUCAAGAAUGAGAUUAAUAGAAUUCUGGAAGCCGUGUACAAUAAUGAUAAGUGGGACGGCAAAGAUAAUUUGCAUGCCACAUCUCUCAAAUUCCGACUCUUAAGACAACAUUAUUUUGAAGUUCCUCAAGGUGAGUUCAUCUACUCUGUUGUCAGUAUGUUGUUCUUUAGGUACAUAUGCAUGCAAAUAGAUGACAUGCGUCUGAUAUUGGAACUUCUUUGACUGCAAAAUGCAGAGGCUUUUAGUGGAUUUAUGAACAAUCAGGUAAGUUCAAGAUCAGUCUCACCAGUGACAUGAAGGGUAUGCCAUACUUGUACGAGGCCUCGUACCAUUCAAAAACGAAUGAGAAGAUAUUGGACGAGGCACAACGUUUCACAACCAAACAUAUGACAGAUUACGUAAAUAAUACUCCCUCUGUUUUUUUUAUAUGACGCUUUGACUUUUGGCACACACUUUUAAGUGCUUUGACCGGAUAGUUAAAAAUAUUAUUUUUUGAAUUUUCUUUUUCUGAAUAAAAAUUUUAAUUAUAUACUAUUAUUCAGAAAAAGAAAUUUUAAAAAAUAAUAUUUUUAACUAUCCGGUCAAAGCACUUAAAAGUGUGUGUCAAAAGUCAAAGCGUCAUAUAAAAAAAACAGAGGGAGUAGUAAGAACAGUAAAGACGAGAAACUUGGUAAACUUAUUAGCCGUGCUUUGGAACUUCCACUGCAUUGGACGGAGUCAAGAAUGGAAGCAAGGUGGUACACUGACUACUUUGAGACAUCAAUAGUAGCAGAAGAUAUAAAUGAUUCUGAUUUGCUUCGUUUUGCCAAAUUGGACUAUAACAUGCUCCAGGCAAAUUAUCAAGAUGAACUCAAAGAAUUGUCAAGGUAUUGAUUAGCAGCUAUAAUCUCGUUUUUCCUUAACCGGUAAACUCUUUGUUUUAGAACUGUGCAGAUUAUUGUUAUUUGUGUGCAGAUGGUGGAAGCGCAUACAAUGGGCAGAGAAAUUUAGCUUUGCGAGGGGAAGGUUGAUAGAGUGUUUCUACUGGAGCCUGGGUUGCAACUUUGGACCUGAGUUUAAAUAUGCAAGGAGUGUGCUAGCUGCUGUUGGUGCCUUCCUAACUACUAUUGACGAUAUCUAUGAUGUAUAUGGUACUUUGGAGGAACUUGAAUUGUUGACAAAAUUAACAAAAAGGUUAAUCACAUGUAUUAUAUAAACUCAAAACUUAUUAUUAUUCUUAUUAAUAUAUUGUUGGGAUACUGAUACAUAUAUUGUCUGCGGUCACUUGAUUAGUUGGGAUGCGGCAGACUUGGAUCAACCAGGGCCUUGACAGACUCAUUUUCUUCUCAAAUCUCAUCGUAACAAUCUUGCACUCAAUUCUUUCCAAAACUUUUUCCUACCUCUAUUAUUUUUAUAUAUUUUAAUUAUUUCAUUUCAUUCUCCACAACCAAACACAACAAGAUUUAGAUGCUAAGAGUAAAAAAAAUUCUUGUUAUUAGACUGUUAGUUAAAGAAUAAAAAUAACAGUAGUUUAGCUUAAGUGUGAAGUUCAAUGGAUGCCAUUGUACAACAUGGUAACUAAGAAAUCAUUUAUGUGUUGCAGUAUAAAAUAUUUAUAACACCUUAGUCCCAUAUAGAAGAGUAUGGAGAUUUUAAUUCAAUUUAUAAAUAUAAAUAUUAGUACAAAUAUUACUUUAAUUGAGUACCAUCGAUUCCAUAGAGCCCAACCCUGGUUUUGUAAUUGUAUACUGCUGACUAAUUAUAUCAUGAGUUCAGGCCUCAGCUGUCUUCUUUUUACUGACCAUUUUUUUAUUUCCGGGAAUAUUAAUGACAGACCAUGUCCUGUCCUUGCGUGUUUGGCUGUGAUCGAUCAUAUCUAGGGCUGUAAACGAACCGAGCCGAAUCGAGUUCUAUCGAAUUCGAGUCCGAGUCGAGCUAAAGCUCGUUAAGCUUAUCGAGCCGGAAAUUUGGUUCGAACUCGAGUUCGGUAUCAACCGAGUCGAGUAUCGAGUUUUCAGCGAACUUGCGAGUCGAACCCGAGCUCGAGUCGGACCCGAGCUUUCAGUUAAAAUUUUUGUUUUUAAUAUGAAUUUGGGCCUCAACCAGUCAGCCCAUUACAUUUUACAAACCCAUAUGUUUGUUUGUUUGAGAUAAGCCCAACCAUUUAACCUAAAACUAAAAUUUAAAAACAUUUAGCAAAAAAAAAAUAAAAAUUAAAAACUAAAAACUAAUUAACAAAGAAAGUAGAUUAGUCUAUGGUGUGCCCAUGGGCACAUGCUAAGCGCGGAAAAUUUUGGGCUUGGAUCAUUUUGAUUGGCUCCUAUCUCAUGAUAAUGGUGGACCCCCUGCAAAUACACCAACCACACCAAUCAAAAUCUCCCAAAUACAAAAAUUUCCGCGCUUAGCAUGUGCCCAUGGGCACACACUAGCCAAACCGAAAUACUAAAAUCUAAAUCUAAAUGAUUAAAUCCCCAAUUCCCAAAUCGACUCAAACCUAAACCCAUAUCACAACUAUCGCCGCUCCGCUCUCAAGCACUGCCCACUUCCAAUCAACCCCAACGGCCACCGACCCAUCGUCAAUCCACCACUGAUAUGCAGAUGUGAAAUGGCCUGUUGCUGCCUUGCUCGGAACUGGGAUGAACUGUCCACUGAUUUGCUGUGAUUCUGUGAAUCCAUGAUAAUGGCCACCAUUAUUUGUUGACUUGUGCUGUUAUACAGAUUCACAAGUGCUACUAGUUCACUACUUUAAUGUAUUUAAAUUUCUUUUGGUUUGUAUUGGAAGCUUAUAUAAUAGAUCAGUAGAUAAGAAGUUCUAUUAUUAAUUUAUUAUUAUUUAUUUUAAUUAUGUACCAGUUUAUCGAGUUGAGUAUCGAGUCGAACGAGUCGAACACGAGUUCGAGUCUAUACCGAGUCGAGUCGAGCAACUACAAAACUCGAAUCGACUCGUUAAGCUUAUCGAGCUGCUUUGGUUGUUCAAACUCGAGCUCGUUAACGAGCCGAGCCGAGCCGGCCUAACGAUCAGCUCGGUUCGUUUACAGCCCUAAAUUCAUAUCUUUUUGUUUCUUCCUCACUGGUUUCGAUUUCUUUACAGUGCCAGUUCUCUCUUUAGUUUUUUUUAACUGAUUUAUUUCAGCAUACACGUGAAGUUUUGCUCCCUGCCGUGUUUUCAUUAUCUGACAUCAGUUGAGAUAUAUGACAUGUUUGCUACAUGUUUAGGAUGUGAAAUAUAAAUGUGCAUGCAGUUAUUUAAUAUUAUUUUAGUUGAAAAACUGAAAUAUAAUUACAAAGAAUAAAGAAUGUAUUUGUCUGAAUCACAAAAAUUUGAUGUGCAAGUAGUCCUCGAGAUCUUUGGUGUGUGAUCUAUAUUGAGGGACCACAUGCAAUAUUAAACCAUGAAUAUGGUUAGCUGUCAGUAGUUAGGACAAAAGUUGUUAUCAGGACCGUUUGCUUUAUUUUGUCAGCUAGUAUUCUGUCUCCUCAUAGCUUGCUUUAUAUGAGAAGAACUACCAAUGUAUUGCCUCAAGUUUUUAUGCAAUGAUAACAAAUAUUCCUGUUUUUCUCUCUAUGAAUCCUUUAUUUUUGUGCCAUCAGUCACUUUCUCUAGCUUGAAAUUCCAUUGUCAUCAUGGUAUCAGAGCUGUCUUUCCUGCCGGUUACUUCUUCUUCACUCACUUUCUACUUUCUCUGCUAAUCCCCUCUCUUACAUCUAUUUCUAUACCAGAUCUUCUUCUUCUAUAUCUCUCAUCAUGUCUUCUCAAUCAAGAUAUUCUUUUCAAGAUAUGCUCAAUCCUCUCUUCCUCCACCCUUCUGAUACUGCAACCUCCAUUCAAGUGGAAAAGCUGCAAGGCUCAGCUGAUUAUCGCUCCUGGUGUCGCUCCAUGGAGAUAAAUCUAGCCUCCAAACGCAAACUCGGGUUUGUCACUGGUACUGUGACCAAACCAGUAGAUGAUGAACUCAAAGCUGAAAUGUGGGACACAUGCAACAACAUGGUCAUAGCCUGGAUUACAGGUAAUGUGUCUCCCACAGUUCGUAAAUCCAUUAUGUUUAUGUCUGAUGCUUGUGAAAUGUGGAAAAAUCUUGAAAAAAGAUUUACACUCACCAAUGGCUCUCGAAAGUACAAGCUAAACAAAGACCUCUAUGAAGUCAGGCAACACACUGCCUCAAUUAAUGAAUACUACACAACAAUGAAAACGUUGUGGGAAGAGCUUGAUUCAAUGAACUUGCUCCCAACAAUCUUGAGCCCCACUGAAGAAAUCACUAAACUGCUUCAAACUAUCGAGCUGCAGAAAGAUGAGGCACAUUUGUUCCAAUUUCUAAAUGGUGUCAAUGAAGUAUAUGGACCACAGCGUAGCCAGCUGUUAAUGUUGAACCCACUUCCCAGUGUAGAAGUAGCAGUCGCUGUGCUGCAACAAGAAGAGGCUCAAAGAAGUCUCCUCUCCUCUGUUCUACCAGAUCUGGAACUCUCAGCCAUGUACAGCAAGAGUGUGCCAGCCUCCCAACCUGAAAAACCCCUUCUUUGCUCUGCCUGUAAUGUUAAAGGCCACUCUAAAGAGCGUUGCUGGACUGUCAUUGGAUACCCAAAGUGGCAUCCAAAGUACAAGCCCCCCAUGAACAAUACCAAAAUUAAACCAGCAACAACACCUUCACCACACAAAUGGUCCUCCACACCAAAAAUGGCAGCUGCUGCAACUGUAAGCUCUGCUUCUCCUGGUCUCUUAUUCACCCCACAACAACUCGAGCAACUGGCUCAGUUAGUGCCUCACCUGCAAAAUCAAACCAUGAAAACUGCUGAAACAGAGGAAGAUGCACCUUAUCAUUUCUCUGGUAUGAUCUCCACAAUGACUUCAACUAAAUCAGCUGAGGAAUGGAUAAUAGAUUCCGGAGCCUCCGACCACAUGACACCACAUCUCAAACUUCUUCACAAAGCAACUCCAACUGGACAUUCACCUCUCAUAAAUCUGCCAAAUGGGGAUACCACUGUCAUUUCUCACAAAGGUAUGGCCACUCUGCCAAAUGGUCUCAAACUUGAAGAUAUAUUGUGUGUUCCUAAUUUUAAACACAAUUUAUUAUCUGUUCAAAAGUUAGUCAAAGAUAAUGCUUGUCAAGUUCAGUUUUUUCCUAAACACUGCUGCAUCAUAGACACUGUUUCAAAUAAAGUGCUUGGGGUAGGACAUGCUAAAGAUGGCCUAUAUUAUUAUACUCCUGCUGCAAACAUAUCUCUCCCUCUACAAACCUUUACACAUCAAACCAACUCUGCUCAAUCAACUCACUCCAUAGACCUCUGGCACUGCAGAUUAGGCCAUGCUCCUGUACCUAAAAUCACUAAAAUCUCUAGCAUUAAAGCCUCUUCCAAACAGCUUUCCUCUUUGUGUCUAACCUGUCCUCUAGCUAGAUUCACAAAACUACCCUUCUCACUGAGUACAUCACAUGCAAAAUCAGCUUUUGACUUGGUGCACAUAGACUUGUGGGGACCUUACAAAGAAUGCACCAAAAGCACUUGUAGGUAUUUCUUGACAAUAGUUGAUGAUUAUUCACGAUAUACUUGGUUAUAUCUAUUGUCCAACAAGUCUGAUUCUCUGCCAAUCUUGAAGACAUUUGUCCAGUUCAUUAAAAAUCAUUUCAGUGGUGCUUCAAUCAAAGUCAUACGAUCUGAUAAUGGUUUAGAAUUUGACAACAUUAUGUGCAAGCAGUUUUUUGCCAACAAUGGCAUUCUCCACCAGACCUCGUGUCCAUAUCGUCCACAGCAAAAUGGACGGGUCGAGCGGAAGCAUCGAUUUAUUUUAGAAGUGGCACGGGCUCUUAAAUUUCAGUCAAAUGCUCCCAUACAUUUGUGGGGAGACUGCGUUUUGACAGCAGUCUACAUUAUUAAUCGCCUUCCUACUUCGCUCCUGGACAACAAAACACCCUACGAGGUGUUUUACAAAGAGCUUCCUGACUAUGAGUCUAUGAGAGUGUUUGGGUGCUUGGCUGUUGCUACAAAUCCUGUAGUUACACAUGACAAAUUUGCAGCCAGAGGGGUUACAUGUGUAUUUGUGGGCUAUCCUCCUAUGAAGAAGGGAUUUCGUUUGAUAAAUCUUGAAACAAUGAAAGAAUUCAACUCCAGAGAUGUCAAAUUUCACGAAGAUAUCUUUCCCUUUAAAACAAGCUCUUUCUCUCCUAUGACACCAUUGACUGAUCCAGCCAAUGAUCCUCAGUUCUUGACAUCCAUAUUCUCUGAUGAAGAAUAUGUCUCUGAAUUACCCAGAUCUCCAUCUCCCGAGAGAGUUCAAUCUUCUUCAUCAGAUGAUGAUACUGAGAUGGAUACCAACUUAAAUGUCAGAAGAUCCACAAGACUCCAUCGUCCCCCACAGUGGCAUAAUGACUAUGUCGCCAACUGUACCACUCAGACCAUCUCUACUGUGACUGACACUGCAGUCAACAACAAUUUUCAUUGCCUCCUAGCCACUCUUGCUACUACAAAAGAUCCAGUAUCGUUUAAAGUCGCAGUACAAGAGCCACACUGGGUGUCAGCUAUGAAUGCUGAGCUCGAAGCACUGGAGCGAAAUGGAACAUGGAUUGUCACUACACUUCCUCCGGGUAAAACUGCCAUCGCUUGCAAAUGGGUGCAUAAAACGAAGUUCAAUCCAGACGGAACCAUAGAGCGAUAUAAGUCCCGUUUAGUCAUUUUGGGCUGUCGACAAAAAUAUGGUGAGGAUUUUAAAGAAACAUUCGCUCCAGUCGCGAAAAUGACAACGGUUCGCACAUUGCUUGCUGUCGCAGCAAUUCAGAAUUGGUACACAUUGCAGAUGGACGUGUCAAAUGCGUUCCUGAAUGGGGAACUCUUUGAGGAUAUAUACAUGAAACUGCCACCCGGUUAUAUGCACUUUGGUUAUCGAAUCAAGUUGAAUGAUGCUGCUCAAGGUCCUUCACACUGCAACUAUGUCUGCAAGCUUCUAAAAGCCUUGUAUGGGCUAAGACAGGCGCCACGAUUGUGGUUCUCUAAACUCUCUCUCACACUGCUUGCUCUUGGGUUCAAGCAAUCGAAAUCAGAUUACAGCCUGUUCCUGAAACAACAGCCAUCAUCCACCCUUACUGUUCUUGUUUAUGUUGACGACCUUCUCAUUUGUGGCUCUGCUAUGAAAGAUAUUGAUAACCUGAAAGCAAUGUUGUCUGCUCAAUUUCACAUGAAAGACCUUGGCCCUAUCAGCUAUUUUCUAGGCCUCGAAAUAGCUCGCUCUUCAUCUGGCUUCUUCAUCUCACAGAAAAAAUACACUCUUGAUCUCCUUACUCAACAUGGCCUGCUGAAUUGUAAACCUCUCUCUCUGCCUAUGGAUUCUCAUCUGAAAUUGACUCCAACCAUUGGUGAUCCUCUUCCUAAUCCACUACCAUACCAACGCCUGUUAGGACAACUUAUUUACCUCACAAUCACACGCCCUGAUAUCUCAUUUACAGUUCAUACUCUCAGCCAAUACAUGAAUGCUCCUACCACGGUUCAUUAUCAAGCUGCCAAGCGUCUUCUACGCUAUCUUGCUGGUUCUCCAGCUCAAGGUAUCCUCCUGGCAUCUUCUAGUGCGGCUCACCUCACUGCCUACUGCGACAGUGACUGGGCAAGCUGCCUUGCUACUCGCAAAUCCACCACGGGCUACUGCAUUUUGCUUGGGGAUUCACCCAUAUCCUGGAAAUCGAAGAAGCAAAGUGUAGUUGCUCGCUCUUCCGCUGAAGCCGAAUAUCGAGCAAUGGCAUUUACUACAUGUGAAGUCACCUGGUUAUCCUCCCUGCUAAAGGACUUGGGUCUCAAAGAUCUCCCUCCUGCCAACCUCAAAUGUGAUAAUAAAGCUGCUCUUGCCAUCGCUGCAAAUCCAGUGCAACACGAGCGCACUAAACAUGUGGAAAUCGACUGCCACUAUGUUCGUGAUCAACUCAACAAAGGCCUCCUUACAACUUCUCAUGUCUCAUCUUCUGAACAAAUAGCUGACUUGCUCACCAAAGUUCUGCCAGUCAAACAACACAAUCACUUGCUGCACAAGCUCGGAGCUUCCGCUUUCCCUCCAUCUCCAGCUUGAGGGGGAGUAUUGAGGGACCACAUGCAAUAUUAAACCAUGAAUAUGGUUAGCUGUCAGUAGUUAGGACAAAAGUUGUUAUCAGGACCGUUUGCUUUAUUUUGUCAGCUAGUAUUCUGUCUCCUCAUAGCUUGCUUUAUAUGAGAAGAACUACCAAUGUAUUGCCUCAAGUUUUUAUGCAAUGAUAACAAAUAUUCCUGUUUUUCUCUCUAUGAAUCCUUUAUUUUUGUGCCAUCAGUCACUUUCUCUAGCUUGAAAUUCCAUUGUCAUCAAUCUAGAGGAACCUUGAACGUUUGCAUUCUGCAGGGACAGCAUUAGCAAACCUCUGCUUGUCAGAGCAGUAGUUGUACACCAUAUGCUUUGAUUGUACCCAACGCAGUCUAUUUCGGCCAGCUGCAUCCAACUGGUGUGUUCGCCAUCCCUCGUCGGUGCUUGAAGAAGUUGAUGAUCCACAAGAUGAUGAUCCGGAAGAUGAUUUGGGACACCCUUUUAUAUUGAAGUUUCUGUAGUAGGCUGUGAAUGGAGCUUUAGUCCAGUCUGUCUUAACACGACCGCCUUGUGUUGCCCAGUCAUCAGCAUUCCAUAAGCUCGCAUAGACUCUCAUAUGCUGACUCUUGGGAAACGGCACCCCUAUUGAUUCCUGAUUGUUGAAUACUCUGAUCGGGUUGUUAUCCACCAAGAAACUGAAAGCAAAAAAAAAUUAAAAAUUGUCAGCAAAAGCAAUCAGAGUAGAAGCUGCAAUUUGGUACGAAAAUGGAAAGUUAUAAGUCCGGUGGAAAAGGUCUACUUACAUAAUCCUUUGGGGAUUCCAAACAAUGGAGUAGGUGUGGAAGGAAGAAGUGGGAUCGAACCAGAGCUGGAAUUGCUGUUCUUUGUCACCUUUGCCUUGUGCAAACACAUUCGUGUGGAUUGUAUAUGGACUUCCUGAAGAGUUCCCUAAAAACUCGAAGUCAAUCUCGUCAUGUCCGGCUCCUUGAGAAGAUAACUGCGCAACAUUAAAUAGAUGUCAGGCAUUUAGAUACCAUUGAUAACUAAGGACAGCAUAUAGUACAUCAAUACGAUAAAUUAUAAUGUAGGGAGUGACGUUACUGACAUAGAAGGUAGUAACAGUGCCAGCAGAGUUUCCAGGGACAAGCUUGAGUUGCAUAUCGAAUCUUCCAAACAAGUACUCAUUCUUGGAUUGAAACCCUGAGCCAGAAGCUUGGUCGAGAGACAAAGUGAGGUCCCGACCAGCAUUGAGUAUCUUGGCGCGCUGAUCACCCCAAGUGAUCUCCGCGUCUUUGUAGAAAUCAGCAGCUGCCUGUGGAGCUUGGCUGGUCAUGAGAACUGA